GGACGAUUGGCUCAGGGGUAGAGCACUUCGUUGACACCGAAGAGGUCACUGGUUCAAAUCCAGUAUCGUCCA
rnacentral:tRNA from 1 species